rnacentral:tRNA from 1 species
AAGAAAGUGGCAGAGUGGUUAUGUGGUUGGCUUGAAACUAAUUAAUGGAGGUUCAAUUCCUUCCUUUCUUG